rnacentral:rRNA from 1 species
UACGUAGGGGGCAAGCGUUAUCCGGAAUUAUUGGGCGUAAAGAGUGCGUAGGUGGUUACUUAAGCGCGGGGUUUAAGGCAAUGGCUCAACCAUUGUUCGCCCUGCGAACUGGGUUACUUGAGUGCAGGAGAGGAAAGCGGAAUUCCUAGUGUAGCGGUGAAAUGCGUAGAUAUUAGGAGGAACACCAGUGGCGAAGGCGGCUUUCUGGACUGUUACUGACACUGAGGCUCGAAAGCGUGGGGAGCAAACAGG